rnacentral:rRNA from 1 species
GUAGGUGGCAAGCGUUGUCCGGAAUUAUUGGGCGUGAAGCGCGCGCAGGCGGUCCUUUAAGUCUGAUGUGAAAGCCCACGGCUCAACCGUGGAGGGUCAUUGGAAACUGGGGGACUUGAGUACAGAAGAGGAAAGCGGAAUUCCAAGUGUAGCGGUGAAAUGCGUAGAGAUUUGGAGGAACACCAGUGGCGAAGGCGGCUUUCUGGUCUGUAACUGACGCUGAGGCGCGAAAGCGUGGGGAGCAAACAGGGAUUAGAUACCCUGGUAGUCCACGCCGUAAACGAUGAGUGCUAAGUGUUAGGGGGGUUUCCGCCCCCUUAGUGCUGCAGCUAACGCAUUAAGCACUCCGCCUGGGGAUACGGCCGCAAGGCUG